rnacentral:rRNA from 1 species
UACAGAGGGUGCGAGCGUUAAUCGGAAUUACUGGGCGUAAAGGGUGCGUAGGUGGUUUGGUAAGUUAGAUGUGAAAUUCCUGGGCUUAACCUGGGGACUGCGUCUGAUACUGCGAAGCUAGAGUACUGUAGAGGGAAGUGGAAUUUCCGGUGUAGCAGUGAAAUGCGUAGAUAUCGGAAGGAACAUCAGUGGCGAAGGCGACUUCCUGGACAGAUACUGACACUGAGGCACGAAAGCGUGGGGAGCAAACAGG